GACGAACGCUGGCGGCGUGCUUAACACAUGCAAGUCGAACGGAAAGGCCCUGCUUUUGUGGGGUGCUCGAGUGGCGAACGGGUGAGUAACACGUGAGUAACCUGCCCUUGACUUUGGGAUAACUUCAGGAAACUGGGGCUAAUACCGGAUAGGAGCUCCUGCUGCAUGGUGGGGGUUGGAAAGUUUCGGCGGUUGGGGAUGGACUCGCGGCUUAUCAGCUUGUUGGUGGGGUAGUGGCUUACCAAGGCUUUGACGGGUAGCCGGCCUGAGAGGGUGACCGGGCAAUUGGGGAAUGGGGUACGGCGCGGGGCAGCCGGGGGGGCACGGGGGGGGAAUGUUGCAACAGGGGGGGAAGCGUGAUGCAGAAACGCCGGUGGCGGGGUGAGGGCGUUGGGGUUGGAAAACGCUUUACCGUGUGACGAAGCGUGAGGGACGGUAAUGGUGAAAGAAGCACCGGCUAACUACGU
rnacentral:rRNA from 1 species